UACGAAGGGUGCAAGCGUUAAUCGGAAUUACUGGGCGUAAAGCGUGCGUAGGCGGUUUGUUAAGUCUGUUGUGAAAUCCCCGGGCUCAACCUGGGAAUGGCAUUGGAAACUGGUGGACUCGAGUCCCGGAGAGGAGAGUGGAAUUCCUGGUGUAGCGGUGAAAUGCGUAGAUAUCAGGAGGAACACCGGUGGCGAAGGCGGCUCUCUGGACGGUGACUGACGCUGAGACGCGAAAGCGUGGGGAGCAAACAGG
rnacentral:rRNA from 1 species